UGGGUUUUGACAGUUGCCUCAGUGUGUGCGUGUCUGCGUCAAGAGGCUGUGUGAGCUGAGUAUGUGCAGGUAGAUGUGACUGAGGAUGAAUGACUGGCUGUAUGCCUGGGUGUCUGUAUGUGUUGGGUGUCAUGGCUGAGAGCCUGAGUGAUUUGUGUGGUUAUUGAAUCUGCUGGAGAGGCUGGGGAAGAUUGGGAGUGUGGAUGCUGAGUGGUGUGUGCAGGAACAAGGAUAAGCCCACCAAGAUGCACCUGAAUUCCACCUGAGAUACUCACCUUCAUUUCAUUCCGGAGAAUCCUGUGUUUAAAGGUAGCUGACACAUUUGGAAUGAAUAUAACACAGAAGAGAGUUCAGAAUAGGAACAAAUCGCUCAUUCUACGAAAGCAUUCCUGAGACUGCAAAGGAAGCUCCAAGGCCACUGAGACAAGUCCCUUGCAUUGAGAGGCAACCACUUGUCCAAAAGGUAGACACGAAUGCCCGCUUUAUACCCUCUCAGAUGUCACAGCCACAAAAUCCCAGUUAAAAAAAAAAAAAAAAAAAAAAAAUCAACAGAGUGCCAGAGAUGAAGACCUGGUACAACAAGGACGCUACCAGUCCUUGCAACUGUAAUUAUAGGGAAUUUGUCAGAUAAUCCUAUGAAAGAGACUGGGCCCCAUCUUAAAAGGGUAGAUGUACAACAAUGGUAUUUUCUAAUCUGAGUGGGAGAAGGGAAUGGGCAACCCUUCCUAAUUCCCAAAAUAGGGAUUAGUUCACAAGUAAAAACACUAGCCAGGCACAUGAGACGUUCCUAAAAGUACCAUGAAGAGCACCUAUAUAACCUAGCCAAACUUUAAACUCCCACCUCUAGCCAUGGCCAAUAUCCAAUGCUUCAGAGAAAGGGCAAACAGGGAAGACAAGAAACAAGAGCUAAAAGAAGCAAAGUGAGGGAGGUGCUCUUCUUGACCUCCACUGGCAAAGUCUGAAGCAUGGAAUUAUCACACACUGCCCAUAUAGAGAUGACAAAAGAAAUUUGAAUUUGGUUCACAUUCUCAUGAUUCCAAAAUUUAAAAACCAAAUCACCACCUCAGUCUGUAAUAAGAAAUGUCACACCAGCAUAAUCCUUGUGCAUCAUAUUGCAAUUGGCAAAAAACUCUUUAGGAGCAAAAAGCACAGAUUCUCUAGACCAUGAGAUGAGGGCUAACAAUCAAAAUGCUGAUGCCCAUUUUCAGAAGCAAACAUUUUAAGUCACGUCAGAGGUUAAAAAAAAAUCUUUAUGCCCCUCCAUCUUUCUUCCUUCGUUUGGAAGGAAACCCACCACUGCAAUAUUCAACCACCACCAGGUAAAUGGCCUGCUCCUGGAAUCCUCCCCUUCAGGUCUUAAACAUUCAAUUUACAUAGCAGUUAACACAUUUAACAAUUUAAUACUCAAAUGAUUAACAUGAAUUCUAUUGAUCUGAUAUGCAAACACACUAGCUCAUUUUUACAAGCUAGAAAUAAGGCAGGUGGAUUUACUGAAGAAUAGUGGCUUAAUCAGCUUCGCCAGCAGCAUCUAAACAUCACAUUAAAAAUUCAAAUGGACAACUUAAAAGCUCUAUUAAAGUGAAACGCUUUCUUAAUUUCUGUUUAAGACUUAAAAGUCUAGCUUUGUGUUUCUGCAUGAAGGAAAUAAAUACUCAAAAUUUGCAAGAGUAUACAGGAGAGAAGACCACCCAGGUCUAAAGAUCAGAAAGUCAGACAAAGGCAACUACUAUUAAAAUCUCAAAUUAAAAAUGUCUUUAUGCAAACUAGUACACAUUUUAGUUACAGUAUGCUUUUCCCAUUAAUGAAAUGUUGAUGUUGCUUAUAAACCUACAUCAUUCAUUCUUUGCUGCCAAGUCUGCCAACUCAGGCCUUCUCUCUCACACACUCCCCAAUAUGCUAUCACCGCCCCCAAAAAAUCAAAAGAUGAGAGUACAUCAAUAAAUAAAGCUGAGCUUGAGACUUUGAAGGCAAUGCUAAGGUUGCAUUAAGCCAGAAUUCUCAAAUGACACUGUAUAGUAAGGAAAAGCAAAAUAAAUUAAUGUGCCUACAGUUUCAGUGCUUACAGCACAGCUGCACCCACUAGAAUCUGGUUUUGUAGGUUCCAUAUACAAAGAUAGCCCUGUUCACAAAAAUGCUCUUUGCCCCUCUGUUUCACAGAUAACACAACCUCAAAUACAGGGAGCCAAAUGAUUAGAAUGGCAUUCAGCACAUUAUUUCCUGUUCUUUCUUAACACUGCUGCCAGCUGACAAAAGCACUUUUUAAUUGAGUCAAUCGGAAGCUGCAUUUUGAGGUGAAUGGUGCUAACCCACUUAUUUUGAGGCAUACAUGAACUCCUUCAUGCUUAAGUGUACUUAGACAGUUUUAACAAAAAGUCUGACAUUCAACAUUUCCUCUCAGGUUCCUCCCUUUUCUUUCUUUUUUCCCUUCCUUCUUCAAAACCUGAUCCCCUAGUUAGGGAACAAGAUGUAACUAUAAACUGCCGGAAGAUAAUUUAUUGACUGGUUCUCAAGAAACAGUUUAAGCCAGAAAAUUCUCAUUUUUCCUUUAAAGCUUUAGGCCUCCCUUGAAAAAAGAACUUGUCAAAAACUAGAAUAAUAGGAAUAACUGCCACUAAGGUGUAGUAUGAAUUUCUGCAUAUUAGUUAUUAUGUUUAAAUGAUAAUAGCAUUGAAUUGCUCAACCUCGAUAUUUGUAUGAACAACUAAAACUCCAUUUUGUGCCUGUUUCCUGCUUGACAUGAAUAGAUGAACUUUGUAUGCCCUGUGUAUGUGAGUGUCUGUGUGAGAGGGUGCAUGGUGAAAUAAUGGUAACUAUUUCAUAAAAACAGAAGAUUUAAUUGACUGUAUAAGCAACAAGGUGCCAAUGUAUAACUUACCAGACAGUAAACUAAUUAGACUAAUUAAUGGUUGGCUGAAGAACUCGUAUGUGAUCAGGUGCAAAGAAGAUAGUAAGAAGGAACUUUGCAUAUCCUGCCAUUUGAACUACACAAUGCUUUAAAGGCAAAGAUACCGACUACACAAUGCUUUAAGGAAGGGAUACCGACUACGUCAUGCUUCAAGGCGGAGAUAACCAACUUUACUAGAAUAACCUCAAGUUGAGAUAACCAGAAGAAACAACUUCUAAUUAAAAACUGAGCAUGGAAAACCCGCAAUGCUGAACAAAGACUUGAAAUCCCUAUAAAAGUGAGAUGCAGACAAGCCAAGAUGGGGAAUCCACUCUCUGUAACCUCAUGGAGCAUGGGCAUGCAUGCCUGUAUACCCCUGCUCAUAUCCUCAAUAAGCCUAGACCCGGCCAUCCAGUGCUAAUAUUGAGAAACAUCUGCUGGUAACUAUAACGUCUUACUGGAGUGGUUUUGUCUGUAUGUUUGCUUGUGUAUGUCUGUUUGUAUGACUGGUGUGUCCAGACUUAUGUAUCUGCUUCAUGUAACAAAUAAACACAGCAUUUUGCCUUAUCUCCUUUUUAAGGUCUCACUCUUAAUUCAAGCUAUUGGCAAUU